rfam:Salmo salar isolate Sally breed double haploid chromosome ssa18, whole genome shotgun sequence.
UGUCUCAGUUGGGAGAGUAUGGCACUUGCAAUGCCAGGGUUGUGGGUUCGAUUCCCAU